rnacentral:rRNA from 1 species
GACGAACGCUGGCGGCGUGCUUAACACAUGCAAGUCGAACGGAAAGGCCCUGCUUUUGUGGGGUGCUCGAGUGGCGAACGGGUGAGUAACACGUGAGUAACCUGCCCUUGACUUUGGGAUAACUUCAGGAAACUGGGGCUAAUACCGGAUAGGAGCUCCUGCUGCAUGGUGGGGGUUGGAAAGUUUCGGCGGUUGGGGAUGGACUCGCGGCUUAUCAGCUUGUUGGUGGGGUAGUGGCUUACCAAGGCUGUGACGGGUAGCCGGCCUGAGAGGGUGACCGGCCACAUUGGGACUGAGAUACGGCCCAGACUCCUACGGGAGGCAGCAGUGGGGAAUAUUGCCCAAUGGGCGGAAGCCUGAUGCAGCAACGCCGCGUGCGGGAUGACGGCCUUCGGGUUGUAAACCGCUUUCGCCUGUGACGAAGCGUGAGUGACGGUAAUGGGUAAAGAAGCACCGGCUAACUACGUG